rnacentral:rRNA from 1 species
AAAGCAUAGGUAAUCUACCCUUGAGUGGGGGACAACUCGUCGAAAGAUGGGCUAAUCCCGCAUAAUAUUUCGAUUUAUAAUGGUUGAAAUCAAAGGGGGGGCUCCUUCGGGACCUCUCGCUUGAGGAUGAGCUUAUGUCCUAUUAGUUUGUUGGUAGGGUAAUGGCCUACCAAGACUAUGAUGGGUAGCCGAGCUGAGAGGCUGAUCGGCCACACUGGAACUGAUACACGGUCCAG